GAUUUAUACCUUCCAUAAGGGUCAAGAAAACAUUACAAGAGCUGAUACAAUCACGUUUUGUACUGACAGAAAACACUUUUAAGGAACACCCUCUAAUUUUCAGGCCAACGUCAACAGUAUCAGUGGGUUCACAGGCAGGAUGUGACUUCAUCAAAGGAAAUGCUUCUCUCCUCCUGGUGGCCUUCCUAAGAUCCUCCUUCCUGCAGACAGGUGAAGGAGCUAGCUCUCUUCCCUCUUUCCCAACAGGUGAUCAAGGCGUACCCUACUCCAACAGACGGAGUGUAGAUUAUCGACACAAUGAGGAAAAGGAACUGAUUUCUUUAUCUACUAAAUACAAUCCAGAUUUGGGGAGGCAGUUCCAAAUUUCCACCAGGCAGACACUAUGUGAACUGUAUUGAGUACAAGACAUGUUAUCUUCAGAAAAAAUAGGGAUGAACACCUCAGAAAUUUUCACAUUGCUCAUCAAAUAUAGUUUGCCCAAAGCAUAUGGGAGAUGAC
rnacentral:lncRNA from 1 species